rnacentral:rRNA from 1 species
GAUGAACGCUGGCGGCGUGCCUAAUACAUGCAAGUCGAGCGGACGGACGAGCAGCUUGCUGCUCUGAUGUUAGCGGCGGACGGGUGAGUCACACGUAGAUAACCUACCUAUAAGACUGGGAUAACGUCGGGAAACCGGAUCUCACAUCGGAUAAGAGUUUGAACCGCAUGGAUCAAAAGUGAAAGACGGAUUUGCUGUCACUUAGAGAUAGAACCGCGCUGCAUUAGCUAGUUGGUAAGGUAACGGCUUACCAAGGCAACGAUGCAUAGCCGACCUGAGAGGGUGACCGGCCACACUGGAACUGAGACACGGUCCAGACUCCUACGGGAGGCAGCAGUGGGGAAUUUUGCACAAUGGGCGAAAGCCUGACGGAGCAAUGCCGCGUGAGUGAUGAAGGUCUUCGGGUCGUAAAACUCUUUUAUUAGGGAAGAACAUAUGUGUAAGUAACUGUGCACAUCUUGACGGUACCUAAUCAGAAAGCCACGGCUAACUACGUG